rnacentral:rRNA from 1 species
AUUGAACGCUGGCGGCAUGCCUUACACAUGCAAGUCGAACGGCAGCACGGGAGCAAUCCUGGUGGCGAGUGGCGAACGGGUGAGUAAUAUAUCGGAACGUGCCCGGUCGUGGGGGAUAACGUAGCGAAAGCUACGCUAAUACCGCAUACGAUCUACGGAUGAAAGCGGGGGAUCGCAAGACCUCGCGCGAUUGGAGCGGCCGAUAUCAGAUUAGGUAGUUGGUGUGGUAAAGGCUCACCAAGCCGACGAUCUGUAGCUGGUCUGAGAGGACGACCAGCCACACUGGGACUGAGACACGGCCCAGACUCCUACGGGAGGCAGCAGUGGGGGAAUUUUUGGACGAAAUGGGCGGCAAGCCUCGAUCCAGCAAU